rnacentral:lncRNA from 1 species
ACAGAGGGGCCACAGUGAGGUUUGAGGCAUGUGUCCUCAUGACUGGAAGGACCCAGGGCAGGCCAGAUGCCCUAGGAUGCAAGAUGGAAGAGGGUAGGUGCCAGGAAGAACAGCUGCAGUAUGGUGAGUGGGCGGAGGAGGAAGAGCUUGCUUUUGGCUGGGAUGCUGGCCUUCCAGAGGAGGUGGCAAUUGUGGUGGGCUCUGAAGGAUGGGUCAUAUGUGGGAGUAAUGAACAUGGCCUGGGAGAGUGUGGGCAUGCCUGGCUAGAGCCAGUGGUUUAUUUGGCUUUGAGCUAUGGGGCAGAUUCUAUUUUCCAAAGAUGAUCCCAACAAUAUCUCCCAUGCCACACACUUUUCUCCUCAUCAAGAGGUGGAGUUGAAUUCCCCUCCCUCUGAAUCGUGCAGCUGGUGACUUGUAUGUUGCCACUGGAGUCCAGUGGAAGUGACACUGCGGGACUUGCAAUGCUGGGGCAAUAAAGGAGUUGCAGCUUCUGCCUUGAGAGUGGGAAUACUCGCACAGAGCCCCGAGCCCCCACUUGAGAAUCCCACCACCCUGCGCCAGCCAUGCCCUGGGGAAGCCACACUGAGGAGCAGCCACACUGAGGGGCUCUGGAGGGCAGUCCUAGUCCUAGUCAUCCCCCUAGCCCAGGAGACUCCAGCAGCGGGAACCCACUAGAAGGUCUGCUGGAGGAAAUGGCUUACUUCAGGCUGUGCUUUCAGAAGAGGAAUCGGCAGCAAAAUCCAGGACAGAGUGGUGGCUUGUGGCUGGAGGGUGGGACGGGGAGACUGAUGAAGUGCAUUUUGGGCUGCUUUCCAUGAGAAGCGAUCUCAGGUGAGCUGUGGCUGCAGGCAUGGAAAGGAAGGGCCAUUGCAAGAGAUGCUGCUGUGCAAGAACAGACAGGGUUCCCUCCUCACCUCUGCAGCUCCCCGCCCAAAUCCCACAUAACCCGUAUCACAUGACGUUCUUUGAAACCUGGCUGGCACAGGCUGUAAAAAGCAGGGCUUUCGGCUUCAUUUAGGCCUACAGUUCCUCAUGGACCAUGAGGUUAUGUGUGUGAUAGUGGAUAGAGCCCUCAGGAGCAGCUGAGUGGGUAACAAAGGUGGUCAUCAGAUUUUGACAUGUGAAGGACACAAGGACCAACUGCUGUGAUGGAUCUGGGAGGACAGGCAGGCAGCAGUCUCCCUAAAAGCACUGAAGUAAGAUGGGCUGCUUUAUAGCCUACCCA